rnacentral:tmRNA from 1 species
GGGGCUGACUUGGAUUUCGACAGGUUUCUUGUCGCACAGACAGCAUGCCAAGUGUUACUUGUAAAACAGCAACAAAAAUAACUGUAAACAACACAGAUUACGCUCCAGCUUACGCUAAAGCUGCGUGAGUUAAUCUCCUUUUGGAGCUGGACUGAUUAGAAUUUCUAGCGUUUUAAUCACUCCAUAACCUUAAGCUAGACGCUUUUAAAAGGUGGUUCGCCUUUUAAACUAAGAAACAAGAACUCUUGAAACUACCUCAAGGUUUUAGAAAGUUGGACCAGAGCUAGUUUUAAGGCUAAAAAACCAACCAAUUUUCUAAGCAUUGUAGAAGUUUGUGUUUAGGGCAAGAUUUUUGGACUGGGGUUCGAUUCCCCACAGCUCCACCA